rnacentral:rRNA from 1 species
UAGAGUUUGAUCCAUGGCUCAGGACGAACGCUGGCGGCGUGCUUAACACAUGCAAGUCGAACGGUAAGGCCCUUCGGGGUACACGAGUGGCGAACGGGUGAGUAACACGUGGGUGAUCUGCCCUGCACUUCGGGAUAAGCCCGGGAAACUGGGUCUAAUACCGGAUAGUACUGCGCGGUGCAUGCCGUGUGGUGGAAAGAUUUAUCGGUGCAGGAUGGGCCCGCGGCCUAUCAGCUUGUUGGUGGGGUAAUGGCCUACCAAGGCGACGACGGGUAGCCGGCCUGAGAGGGCGACCGGCCACACUGGGACUGAGACACGGCCCAGACUCCUACGGGAGGCAGCAGUGGGGAAUAUUGCACAAUGGGCGCAAGCCUGAUGCAGCGACGCCGCGUGAGGGAUGACGGCCUUCGGGUUGUAAACCUCUUUCAGCAGGGACGAAGCGCAAGUGACGGUAC